ensembl:lncRNA
AAUUAACUGUGAGUCCCACAUAUAUGAAACUUACAAGAGGAGAAAUAACAUGGCUUGUGAACUGAGUCUUGGGACCAUGUUUUCAAGUCACUGUUGAGGCUGAGUUUGUUUUCUGUGGCCUGUCUCCACUGCAAGAAGAGUUGUCACUUUUUCUGCUGGUGGAUAUUUCCCUUGGGGAAAUGAAAACUCAUGUGGAAAACAGUCACUCUCAGAAAUGCUGGAUAAACAGAGUGGGCAAAUGCCCUCCUCGUUUUCCAAGGAGCAGACUGUGUAAACCAGAAAGGGGUACUUCAGAUGUUAAUCUUUGGCAAAAACUCUCAAAUGAAUUAGCAAAUAGUGACUGGAGAUAAAGUAAAACUUGGUUCAAAGGUCAACCUCUGAAAUGAUUCAGGUUGCUCUCCACUCUCUACCUUGGCAGGGAAGGGCAGGCCCCAAAGCAAGCAGCAAAGAGUACACUCUUCCAGGAAUUUGGGAAGAAGCUCCUGACUCCCCAUAGCAAAAACAACCCUGAAGAGAGACAUGUGGGAUCUGGGGCCAAGAGGGCUUUUCUCAUCGCUGGGAGACAUGCUGGGUGAACUGGCUAUCCACUGAAGAAAGACCAAAGUAGAAGGAGAAAAGAUAGGACAACAUGGUUAUGACCUUGGAGUUGGAGUGGGCACGGCCUCAAGCAAACACAAAUCACAAAGGCAAACAGAAAGAGUGAUGUCAGCCUUUAUCAAAAUGUGGAACUUCUGAUUCAGAAUCAGGAAUCACUAGAAGCUGAGAUAAAGACAAACAACAAAGUUGGAGGAGGUAUUUUGUAAUAUAUAUAUAUAUAGAUAUGUGUGCAUGUGAGUUCAGUUGCUUCAGUCAUGUCUGACUCUUUGAUACCUCUGAGACUGUAGCCUGCCGGGUUCCUCUGUCUACGGGAUUCUCCAGGCAAGAAUACUGGAAUGGGUUGCCAUUGCCUCCUCCAGAUCUUUCCAACUCAGAAAUCAAAUAUACAUCUCCUGCGUCUCCUGUACUACAGGCAGAUUCUUUACCACUGAGCCACCAGGGAAGCCCAUAAUAUGUGUGUGUACAUGUAUUUAGGCGUAUGUGUGUAUACAUAUACAGAUAUAUUUAUGUAUAUGCAGAAAUGGAUACACAUACACAUAAAAGCUGGAUUAUUAUCCAGACUUUGUUAAAAACUACUAUCAAUCUGUAGGAAAAAAGACCAAGACCAACAACCCAAUGGAAAAAUAGAUAAAAAGAUGAGCAGCCAGUUCAUAAGAUGGGAGGGUCCAGAGAGACCUUUGUUUUAUCUCGACAGUGCAAAUUUUUAAUACUUCCAGGGAGGGCUUAUUCUUAUAUGAAUUUUAUAAAGAAAAUAAAGAAGAAAAUCAUCUGAAGAUGAAACCCAAGCCAUGAGAAGUAUUAGUUUGCCAACAUGUAGGGAGCACUUAAUCUCUAAAGUAUGAGCUCCUUGGCAACUAAAGAGCAGCAAAGACCAGAGCUGGACCCAAACAGGACUCUUAAGAGGGAGGCCCAGCCCCUCUCAGCUCUGUGCCUGGCAGCCCGCAGGGGUCUUGGCUGUUCCAGGGUGCUGAGAAGGAUGGACUCCAAAUUUAAGACCCUCUGAUCACCAUUCUACCAUUAAUGUUCCAUUACAGAUGUUGUUUGGUCACUAAGGCAUGUCCGACUCUUUGCGACCCUAUGGACUGUAGCCCUCCAGGCUCCUCUGUCCACGGGAUUCUCCAGGCAAGAAUACUGGAGUGGGGUGCCAUUUCCUCCCCCAGUGGAUCUUCCCAAGCUAGGAAUCCAACCCACAUCUUCUGUCUCCUGCAUUGGCAGGUGGAUUCUUUACCACUGAGCCGCCUGGGAAGCCUUGAAGCGUCUGUGCCCCCUCCAUUCCCCUGGGCUUGAUUACACUCUGGCCUCUCUGUGAGAACCUGGUUUCUCAGCCCCACCAGUGCUCAGGGGAGCCCAGCCUGCCACCCAGCCAUCUAGUCCUGUCUCAACCAAAGCUGGAGUGGGAUUGGGGAAUGUCUCCACCCUGUGCAUUGUAGCCAACUGAACUCAGGACUUUCACAUAUGAUCAGAAUCUUCUAGCUCAAGAGGUCACGGUUCAUGGUGCCAGAGCCUAGCAGGCUGGGGGAUCCAGGAUCAUGAGAGUAUCCUGCCUUCCCCUCUGUGGUUGGCUGCCGAGGAGGCACUACAGAUUGGCUGAACACUUCAGAAUGAACAAUAAUAACAACAUUUUAUUUCAAACACAGCUUGAUGUUUUUAUUUUUUAAUUGCAGUAUAAUUGCUUUACAAUGUUGCGUUAGUUUCUGCGUACAACAUCAUGAAUCAGCUGUACGUAUACAUAGAUCCCCUCUCUCUUGAGCCUCCCUACCCCCCCAGGUCAUCACAGAGCACCCAGCUGAGCUCCCUGUGCUGCACAGCAGCUUCCCGCUGGCUGAAAUGAUGUGGAUGAACCUAGAGCCUGUCACAGAGAGCGAAGUCAGAAAGAGGAAAACCAUAUUUAGAGGAAUGCAUGUAUAUGGAAUAUAGAAAAAUGGUACUGAUGAGCCUAUUUGCUGGGGCAGGAGUAGAGGGGAAGGAGCAGAGAAUGGACUUGUGGUCACGGGGUGGGGGGUGGGGGCAGAAUUUCAUUGACAUAUAUACACAGCUUGAAUUUUAUCCUAUUCUCAGGAGGCCCAAAGGGAUAAAGUCCCCUCAUCUCACACCCGAGGUUCAGAAUUGAGAAAUCACCCUGCCUUGGGACAGGAACUUUUAUUUUGUAACUCCAGUCUCUGCUCCUCUGUGCCUGGUGUUCUGUUUGGGAGUCUCCCCAGGGUGAUGGUGCCUCCAGAUAAAGUUGUAAUGAGAGAGGCGGGAGGGGGACGGUGAAAAGGCCGGGCAGAGAGUAAACAGACCUUCUCCAAUCCAAAGUCUAGGCAGCAGGGCACUCAGUAGGUCUACAGAGUGACUCCUGACUGCCUAUGAAUGCCCUCUAUUCAGGAAUCCAGCCUUUUGUUUAAGGGUGAAGAGCGUUCUGAAGAGCGGAGAACUGGCCGAACUGGUCUGGCCACUCAGCAGAAGUGAAUACUUCCCCCUGGGGCCAGGACUCAGGCUCCUCUGUCCAUGGAAUUCUCCAAGCAAGAAGACUCAAGAAGCUUUGAUAGAACCAUCUAGCAAUUCUUGAGUCCUGCCUCAUUCGGGCCUGUGUUGAAUCCCUCUGUGAGCACAGCAACACCUCGGAAGGCCUCCCCAUGACCUCACCUUUUGCCAGAUACUUAAUUUUUCAGCCCACAUCAGGCCUCAGACAAAAGGAAGCCAGAGUUGUUUUUCUAAAAGACAUGUUUGGGAUUUCCCUGGUGGAAUAGGGGACGGGAAUCCGCCUGCCGAUGCAGGGGCCAUGUGUUCGCUCCCUGGUCCGGGCAGAUUCCACAUGCUGCAGAGUGACUGGGCCCUCACACCAGAACUGCUGAGGCCUGCAUGAUGCAACUACUGAAGCCCAGGCACCUAGAGCCCGCGCUCCGCAACAAGAGAAACAACUGCAAUGAGAAGCCCUCAUAGUGCAACUAGAGGAAGCCCACACACAGCGACAAAGACCCAGCAUGGCCAAAAAUUAAACUAAAUAAAUAAAAUCAAAGACAUGUUUGUGUCUCUGUCUAGAGUUCCCACUAUAGGGACACCAGAACUUAGCAUUCAAGACCCUUCACAGUCCAUAAAUGAGAACCUUGGGUUCUGGAUCUCAAGACCAUUGGGAAAAUCAUGCGUGAAUCAGACAGGUGAAUCCAGGGCUUUCUUUUAGUCAAUAUUUUGUUUACUCCAUUUUGAUAGAGACAAAAUACCAUAUCUAUGUGACCCCACAUAGAUAAGAGGGCAAAGGAGAGGUCUGUUCAGCUCAACAGGGCCAGUGCAGGGGGCCAUGCACAAGGCCUUGGGGGCUGUGGAAAUUAAUGACUAUACAGCUUGGUGGUGCUUUUCUCCAGAGAGGGGCCUGGCCCAUGUCCCUUCCAGAGGGUUAAGUUCCCCUCCAAGAGACCUAUUGACAGGAAAAGAAUUGACUCACUCAUGUGGGUUGACCCUUAUGAC